rnacentral:lncRNA from 1 species
AGGAUGUUCAUCCCCUAUUGUGCAAAAGGCUAGAGGGCGCAAAUGGGGGUGAUUGGUGUUGCAGGCAAUCAUUAGAUAUUGGAGUUUCUUUAGCACUUAUCACAUCGCAUAAAAUAUCAGUCGUCCAGAUAUCUUCUUCAUGAAGGGAAGCAGUAUAAGAGAUCUUAUUCCCUACCUCUUCUCAAAUGCCUACGACUAUUAGAAGCUGACAACGCAUUUAGAGAAGUGCAUGAAGGCAUUUACGGAAGUCACAUCGGAAAGAGAGCACUAGCUUAGAAGCUCCUUCGGUAAGGCUACUAUUGGCCAAUUAUGCAAAAUGAUUUCAAGAACUAUGUUAUUUUUUGAGCAUCCUUCUGAUCCACGG